rnacentral:rRNA from 1 species
CGCCUUCUGSAUGCUCCASAUGGUUAUAACAAGUGUGUAUCUAGAGUAUCACGCCUUGCCCAAAAAUAAAGACUCGGUSCGACAUUGCCAUGCACAUAGGAAUUGGCGGGGGAGCCACAGGAAUUCCUGGUGUAGCGGUGAAAUGCGUAGAGAUCAGGAAGAACACCGGUGGCGAAGGCGCUCUGCUGGGCUAUAACUGACACUGAGGGACGAAAGCUAGGGGAGCGAAUGGGAUUAGAUACCCCAGUAGUCCUAGCGGUAAACGAUGGAAACUAGGUGUGGCCUGUAUCGACCCGGGCCGUGCCGAAGCAAACGCGUUAAGUUUCCCGCCUGGGGAGUACGCACGCAAGUGUGAAACUCAAAGGAAUUGGCGGGGGAGCACAACACA